rnacentral:rRNA from 1 species
GAUGAACGCUGGCGGCGUGCCUAAUACAUGCAAGUCGAGCGAACGGACGAGAAGCUUGCUUCUCUGAUGUUAGCGGCGGACGGGUGAGUAACACGUGGAUAACCUACCUAUAAGACUGGGAUAACUUCGGGAAACCGGAGCUAAUACCGGAUAAUAUUUUGAACCGCAUGGUUCAAAAGUGAAAGACGGUCUUGCUGUCACUUAUAGAUGGAUCCGCGCUGCAUUAGCUAGUUGGUAAGGUAACGGCUUACCAAGGCAACGAUGCAUAGCCGACCUGAGAGGGUGAUCGGCCACACUGGAACUGAGACACGGUCCAGACUCCUACGGGAGGCAGCAGUAGGGAAUCUUCCGCAAUGGGCGAAAGCCUGACGGGGCAACGCCGCGUGAGUGAUGAAGGUCUUCGGAUCGUAAAACUCUGUUAUUAGGGAAGAACAUAUGUGUAAGUAACUGUGCACAUCUUGACAGUACCUAAUCAGAAAGCCACGGCUAACUACGUG